rnacentral:rRNA from 1 species
UACGUAGGGGGCAAGCGUUGUCCGGAAUCAUUGGGCGUAAAGAGCGUGUAGGCGGCCAGGUAGGUCUGCUGUGAAAACUCGAGGCUUAACCUCGAGCUGUCGGCGGAAACCAUCUGGCUAGAGUCCGGAAGAGGAGAAUGGAAUUCCUGGUGUAGCGGUGAAAUGCGCAGAUAUCAGGAAGAACACCCGUGGCGAAGGCGGUUCUCUGGGACGGUACUGACGCUGAGGAGCGAAAGCAUGGGUAGCGAACAGG